GUGGGGAUCUCAACCAUUUCCAAGUUCUCAAACAGGAGGGUUGGGGUGACCACAGGGACUUCCCCUUUAUUUGAUUUGAUUUGUUAUAUUGUCACAUACAUGAGUAUAUAUGGUUUAAGGGUAAGGAUCUUGACCAUUUCCAAGUUCUCAAAAAGGAGGGUGUACAGUGACCUCAGGGACUCUUCCUAUCUUUCAUUUGAAUUGUUAUAUUGUCCCGUACAUGAAUAUAUGGUUAAGGGGUGGCGAUCUCAACGGGUUUCAAAUUCUCAAACAGGAGGGGGUGGGGUGACCCAAGGGACUCCCCCUAUAUUGCAUCUGAUUUUUUAUAUUGUCCCAUACAUGAAUAUAUAUGGUUU
rnacentral:lncRNA from 1 species